UAAUUUUUUAUUGCCUUUAAAGAAUUUUGAAAUUUAUUUAGAUAUUGAUAUCUACGUAUAAAGUUAAUUUUGUCUUUCCCUAAAAUUUGGUCGAUAAUUUUUUUUUUUGUUUUACCACAUUGCAACUUACAAUAAUAUAUAUAGUAAUUGGCACCACAUAUUAAUUCAUUACUGUAAUUUUUUUUGCUUUUUGAUUAAAUAUCAAAUACUUAUCAUAGAUUGCCUAAUAUAUGCCCAAAGGGAACAAUGGAUUUCAUUAAUGGAAAUCAACACAAUUAAACAGAACAUAUUUGUUUGUUCAGAUCACAUCCUUAGAAGUGAUUUCUUAUAUAAGGAAGAUAAUAUUAUCAGUAGCCAGACUUUAUUAACAAAAUCAGCUCUACCUCAAAUGUAAUUUUUUUUUAAAUAUAUUUUUCUAGUAUAAAAAAAUCGUCACAAAAAGGAUUAGUGUUACUCAUAUAAGCUUUAUUUAUACCUAAUACUUAUUAAAUUAGGUAUGUAUGUAAAACUAUUUUUUUACUAGGAUUUCUGAUGCACUGGUUAAAAACACAGCAGCCGAUAAUUCAGUUAAUUUACCAAGUGAUUUACCCUUCAAAGCUGCAGGGGUAGCUUUCCUGAAGAGUGCAAAAACUUCUUUAGCUUCCAAAAUGGUAUAUAGUACAAACAGUGAAGCUAAUAUAGACAAAUCUGAUCAUUCAUCAUCAACAAUAACUGCAUCUGAGAUUAAUAGUUCUACAGUAACUGUGGGGUCUAGGUCAAUAAUUACUAUUUCUCAUCCAAGCCGUUUUUGUUAACUGCUACACAUUCCCUGACUCUGCCAAGGAAAAGGGUAAAAUCAAAAUGAUAUCCUGAGGACCUAAGCACUAAUGAUUCCACCGUUUCAAAAACUAAAUCACUUGUUACAAAAUUAUGGAAAAAAAUAAAGAACAAAAAAUUAAAAUUCGAAGAUUGCAAAAAACAAAUUUGCCCCAAAAAAAUUAAAUUAAAUGUCUCAAGUCAUUAUUAAAAUACUUAAGAAAUAAUAACAUGAUUUUCGA
rnacentral:lncRNA from 1 species